AUGGAGACAGACAACAGGUCCGAAUCAGAGGCUUGCCUCGGCCACCAGAUGGCGCUAAGUGUACAGAUCAAGGUGUGUCCUUUCUCUCAUACAUGCCCAACUAAGCUGAGAAGUGACAAGUUCAAGCCGGCUAAGAGUAGGUGGGUUGCUGAUGUUAUCCUAGAUUGGGCUAGAAAGAACCCAGACAUUGGCCCUACUGCUCUUCAAGAGAAGAUCGAGGAGAAGUAUCACUUCACGGUGUCGUACAUGCGUGUAUCUCGUGGAACGGACGACGACAGCAUCCUGUGCCGGCGUCCCUUGUACGACACCAGACACGGCUGCGUCGCUGCCAACAGAGGGCUCUCCCGGCGCGCGACCAUCAAGGAGGAGGUGAGCAGGCCCGGCUCGAUGCCGUAG
rnacentral:rRNA from 1 species